UAAAAUCGUUGCCCUAAUGGCAAUAAGUGUACUUAAAAAUAGAACAAGAAAAAAAAAUAAAAGAAAGCAUAAUAUGUGGAUGAAAGAGUGAUGCCGGCAAAUGAAGAGGACUAAAUAGGAAGGAAAUUGCAAUAAGCUUUGAAAGUCGGUGGAAGGAAUUUCGUCAUCUGGGUCCUUCUAUUACAACUAUAAAGCUAGGUACACACGAGGCAAACCCAAGUUGGCACAAAUGUUGCAUGCAAAUUACUUGCUUCAAUCAUGCUUGCAAGUAACACUCAGUUGCAAGUUCUGUUGUCUGGUACCAGGUACCAAAACUCUACUGAAGCAAAAAAUAUUCGUGAAGAAUUUAAACAUUUUUUGUGUCGCCUGAUGGUGUAUUGUCAUGACAAUAUAAACAUACAUAUAUGAAAUAAGCAAUUAGUCGGAUAUUUUCAAUAAAUUGUAUAACUUACAAUA